rnacentral:rRNA from 1 species
AGGGAGGCGUAGGCGGCUGAUUAAGUCAGCGGUGAAAGGUAGCAGCUUAACUGUUUUACAUGCCGUUGAUACUGGUUAGCUUGAGUUGACAGAAGGCAGAUAGAAUUCCUGGUGUAGCGGUGAAAUGCUUAGAUACCAGGAGGAAUACCGAUUGCGAAGGCAGUCUGCUGCAGUCACACUGACGCUGAGGCUCGAAGGUGCGGGGAUCAAACAGGAUUAGAUACCCCUGU